GACGAACGCUGGCGGCGUGCCUAAUACAUGCAAGUCGAACGCAGUGGGGACGGGGUAGUAACACGUGGGUAACCUCCCGUCAGAGGGGAUAACACUUGGAAACAGGUGCUAAACCGAUACUGAUGGAUGAACCCGCGGUGCAUUAGCUAGUUGGUGAGGUAACGGCCCACCAAGGCCAAGAUGCGGAGCCCGACUUGUGGGGGGAUCGGCCAACCUUGGACUGGGACACGGCCCCGACCCCCUCGGGAGGGCGCAGUAGGGAAAUGUCGGCAAUGGACGAAAGUCUGACCGAGGCACGCCGCGGGAGUGAAGAAGGUUUUCGGAUCGUAAAACUCUGUUGUUAGAGAAGCGGUAUCUAUCCAGAAAGCCACGGCUAACUACGUGCCAGCCGCCGCGGUAAUUCC
rnacentral:rRNA from 1 species